GACGAACGCUGGCGGCGCGCCUAACACAUGCAAGUCGAACGAGCGAGAGAGAGCUUGCUUUCUCAAGCGAGUGGCGAACGGGUGAGUAACGCGUGAGGAACCUGCCUCAAAGAGGGGGACAACAGUUGGAAACGACUGCUAAUACCGCAUAAGCCCACAGGUCGGCAUCGACCAGAGGGAAAAGGAGCAAUCCGCUUUGAGAUGGCCUCGCGUCCGAUUAGCUAGUUGGUGAGGUAACGGCCCACCAAGGCAACGAUCGGUAGCCGGACUGAGAGGUUGAACGGCCACAUUGGGACUGAGACACGGCCCAGACUCCUACGGGAGGCAGCAGUGGGGAAUAUUGCACAAUGGGGGAAACCCUGAUGCAGCGACGCCGCGUGGAGGAAGAAGGUCUCCGGAUUGUAAACUCCUGUUGUUGAGGAAGAUAAUGACGGUACUCAACAAGGAAGUGACGGCUAACUACGUG
rnacentral:rRNA from 1 species